UUAUUAUUGCUUCCCUAAUAUCGUGUUCCUGAAAUGUGUGUAAUAUUGAGGUUGGUUUUCCAUCACCUACGACACACGUCAGUCCUAGAAAGAAGAACCGGAUCUGGCUCGUGUUCUUGAGGGAUUCCUGGAAGGUUUCCAUCUAGCUAUUAAUCUAUGUUGUAUCUUUUAUUACUUAAUACUCAAACCCUUGUUCUCUUUUCCUUCUAAGUUUCUAACACGUUUUUCAAUGAAUAAAGGGAUUGGUUUGAAGAUGAGCUUCAAGCCUUUCAAGGAGGAAAAUAUGGCCUUAUGCCCUGUGUAUGGGAGAAUGAAAUUUCUAGCUUCCCUCAUGUAUUAGUUUUUUGGAGAAUACAAUUAACAAAUAACAAUAAACUACAUAUGUAGUUAACAAUAUAAGUUAAUAGUAUAUUAACUGAUCAUUUUGUCUUUAGCCUUUUUGUUUAAAAUCAGAAACAUGUCUGCCUGGAAUUACUAGAUGUAAUGAUACCCCCCUCCCCCCUCCUUUACAAGUCUACUUUGGUUUUUAAUCUUCCAAUUAAAUUUAUGAUUGUUAGAGGUACCCUUUUCACAUUAAUAUGUUAUCAAGUAAUUAUUGGAAUAAUUUUUUUAUUGUCUGACAAGAUUUUGGAAGCUUCUGAAAUCACAUUAAAAGCAUAAACAUUAUCAAGUAGAAGUUGGGAAUUAGAAAUCUCACACACAAGCUGAUUUAUUUAUAAUCACCGGAUAACAGUAAUUAUGGAAACAAAAAAAUAAAUCCCUUAAGUUUAGACUAGACAUUCUGGGAGGACUUUAGGCCUCUGUACUUCACCAAAACCAUUAAAACUAAUCAUCGUAAAACAGUAGCAGGACCUAGGAACUAGGACACUCCCAACAGUCAGUAAAAUUGUCAUUGGCAGAUAAGAGUUCCAAGGAGAGAAACAACAAUAGAACAAUUUAAGAAGAAAUGAGAAAGUGAAUAUCAAUUGGACUGUAUUAGAAAGUAAUGCAGAGAGAAAAUAGACUAUGUGAGAAAAUGAAUAUCAUGGUAGCUCAAUAAAUUAUAAAACAUUUUUAAGACAGAAGAAAUUGUGCUAAAUUGUGACAUAUUGCUACAUUUUUAAUAUUCAAACCCUUGUUCUCUUUUCCUUCUCAGUUUCUAUUAGACAAGAGAGAUGCAUUGUUGGAUCCUUGGAUUCCUGGAAGGUUUCUAUCUAGUUGUUAUGCAGUUAAGCUAUGUUGUAUCUUUUCUUACUUAAUAUUCAAACCUUUGUUCUCAUUUCCUUCUCAGUUUCCGCACAUGUCUAGUUUGGAUGGAGUUUGUGUUAAAACUUUGUUUUGUCGUACAUUUUAAUGGCUUUGAUAAAAUAUGCGACAACACUAUUUAUUUGUAGUGGGUCAACUCACAUCUUGAAGGGCAUCUCUUUGCUUGUGUAUAUCUUAUAGGGUAAGAUAUUGUUGUGGAUUCACUUUGGUGUUCUACACAUGGCUGUUUAGUGAUUUUCAUUUUUGAUAUGAGUGGAGCUCAACUGACAUUGGGGUAACUAGAUGUAAUUAUACCACUUAACAACUACCUAUAGAAAAUAAGAAACUGAUUUGUGUCAGCCCAACCAUUGAAAUAUAACUAAUUAUUAUUAUUACUAGGUGGAUUUUGUCAAGUGGAUUUUUUAGAAAUAAGAAUAAGUUUGAAUGCAAAUGGUUUCCAAAUGAAGUUUGUGCAAGUAUCUCCAUGUUUAACAUUGUCCAAUUUCUGCCUUCAAGGUGUUUGAUUAAAUGCUUCUUAAGAUUUUGGCUUGUUUUUGAUGAAAUUGGAGGGCUUGUGACCUUGUGUGUCUAGGUAAACCUGUUUCCAUACUGUCUUGUUAGUCCACUAAAGAGGAUGUCUUAUUCUCAUUUUUAUUUCUAUUUUGCUAACAUAGGGGUUGGUUUCUUCACUUUCAUGUGAAGGGAUAGUUGCAAACAGUACCUUUGGGCUAUGUUUGGUGCAUUGUAUACCUUCCCUGAGUACUGCAUCAAGAAAACUCCAGCCCUCCCCUACCAAAAUUGAUUUGAAUGGCUACAUUGCUGUGUUAGUAUUUUGGCCUUGUAUGUGGUCUUCAGCUUUCUGAUGUCCGGUGGACUAGAACGAGUUUGAGAGUCUGACUUUGAAUAUUAUGUAUAUGAAUAUUAUAAAGCAGGAAGCGCUGUACAUAAUAGACCAGGAAAAGUGGUCAAUGAUGGAUCCAGAAACAUUUACAAUGAUAAAUUUGGAAUAGUUGUGAAUGACAGACCAGAAAAUGUUGUCAUUGUCAAUGAUAGAUCAGAAAAAGUUGCCAAAAACCAACUAUUUGUCUGGCCUUGGAUGGGCAUUGUUGCAAACAUUGCCACUGAAUUUAAAGGCGGAAGGUGUAUUGGAAAUAUUGGUUCCAAACUAAGGGAUGAGUUUACUUUGAAAAGAUUUCAUCCUUUAAAGGUUCAAUCGUUAUGGAACCGUUAUGGACAUUCAGGUUUUAGCAUUGUAGAAUUCUCCAAAGACUGAGAGAGUUUCACUAAUGCAAUGAAUUUUGAAAGAAGUUUUAAGGCAGAAUAUUGUGGUAGGAAGGAUUAUAACAAUUUAAGAUCCUAAUGGUAUAGACUUAUCACGAGCUACCCAUCCAUUAUCCCCUCGGUCUCUUAAAUUGUUGUAAUCCCUCUUGUCGUUCUCCCUCAAAAUUUCUUUCAAAGUUCAUUGCAUUGGUGAAACCCUCCUAGUCUUUGGAGAAUUCUACAAUGGCAAAACAUGAAUGUCCAUAAUGGUUGAACCUUCAAAGGAUGGAAAUCCUUUCAAAUUGAAAGUGAGAAACGAGACAUUAGAGCAGGUUUCCAGCAAAUAUGAUGAUAUUAGUGUGUCCCUGAACAGAGUUAUGGAUGACAAGCGAUGAUUGAAUCAUAUAAUAAUGAAAUAAAAAAACAUGCAUCAAACUACCCAGAAAUAUUGGGAGGUGUUUUACAAGGGUCGUGAAAAGGCCAGAUUGGAUCUGCAUGCUCAGGAAAGAACUAGAGGGUCGUGAGAAGUAUCUACAUAGAAGUCAAGUGAAGAAUGAGAAUGGGAGGAGAAAACUGUACCUUGAAAGAAAAAAUAAUGGGAUGGAAAUAAUGGAGCAGAACAAAGUCGAUGAGAAAGUGAUGCAUUUGGCAGAAGAACAUAAG